UACGUAGGGCGCAAGCGUUGUCCGGAAUUAUUGGGCGUAAAGAGCUCGUAGGCGGUCUGUCGCGUCUGCUGUGAAAACUCAGGGCUUAACCCUGAGCUUGCAGUGGGGUACGGGCAGACUAGAGUGCGGUAGGGGGAGACUGGAAUUCCCUGGUGUAGCGGUGAAAUGCGCAGAUAUCAGGAGGGAACACCGGUGGCGAAGGCGGGGUCUCUG
rnacentral:rRNA from 1 species